UUCCAGCUCCAAUAGCGUAUAUUAAAGUUGUUGCGGUUAAAAAGCUCGUAGUUGAAUUUGUGUCUCGCACUGUCGGUUCACCGCCCGCGGUGCUAACUGGCAUGUUUGCGAGACGUCCUGCCGGUGGAUGUUCAAUAGUUUUCGGUGGAUUCCGGGUGCCUUCGGGCCUCGUGGGUUACUGAAUUUCUAUUUCAUCCGACUUAUAAAUCCUGUCGCGGUGCUCUUAACUGAGUGUCGAGGCGGGCCGGCACGUUUACUUUGAACAAAUUAGAGUGCUCAAAGCAGGCUAAUUAAUGCCUGAAUAAUUAGUGCAUGGAAUAAUGGAACAGGACCUUGGUUCUAUUUUGUUGGUUUUCGGAACCCCAAGGUAAUGAUUAAUAGGGACAGAUGG
rnacentral:rRNA from 1 species